ACAUGAUUGCUUUUCUAGGUGUCAACGGUGUAUUGCUCUCUUUGCUCAGGUGGAUGAGUAGAUCCAAUUUGUGUGUUGUAAGGAGGAUUCAUUUUCUAGGUGUCAACGGUGUAUUGCUCUCUUUGCUCAGGUGGAUGAAGUAGAUCCAAUUUGUGUGCUGUAAGGAGGAUUCAUUUUCUAGGGUU